UCGUUGGUAGCUACCUGGCUGUCUACUCUACACACUUUAACGUGACUGACAGAUGGUUGAUCAAACGAAACACACGUGUUAUAGAUGUGGGUGGGGCGGAAAACUGUAAACACCAACUGCUCUUCGGUUUAGCUUCUGACUUGAUUUAUGAGUUAGAUUAGUUAGCUGGCAGCACAUCAGAUGGUAGCUAAGAUCAACAAAAAUGUUCCGUUAGCGCAUAAAACUUGAAACGCAAAAUGCGAUGCUAUUUUCAAGCAUUUCUCCUGUGCAUGGUCUUCACCUUCUUGUCACUGUUGUAUGUGUUCAAUCAACUGGCCUCCACCUUGGAGGACAGAGACGACUGGAACCUGAAAGAACAGGGGAUACCCGACAGGCGCAGUCAUGGCUCCGGCCACCUUCUCAGGAAAAAGCCAGGUCUGGCAGGCCUUCGAGAUCUUGAAGAAGGGCUUGACAGGUGUAAAUCACUGUCAGUUUCUUACUGGAAUCCAUAUUGGAGACUGCCUGCUGAUGUUUGUGGAGUGAACUGCUUAUUGGAACCAUCUCUUAGCUCUGCAGGCAAGGACCAUAGUGACGAGAGAAGUCACCUGGCUGUGGUUGCCUGUGGACUCAGGUUAGAGGAGACUCUUACCAUGUUGAAGUCAGCUGUUGUCAUCAGCAAAAAGCCUCUGCACUUUUACAUCUUUGCGGAGGAUGAUCUACAUGACGGCUUCAGAAGUGGUCUUGAGUCCUGGCCCAGGACAGCCCGGACCAAGUUUAACUUCACCAUCUACCCCAUCACUUUUCCUAAGGAGAAUGCAAAAGUGUGGAAGAAGCUCUUCAAACCUUGUGCCUCUCAGAGGCUCUUCUUGCCACUGAUCCUGAAGGAGGUGGAUUCUUUGCUCUAUGUGGACACAGAUAUAAUUUUUCUGCAGCCAGUAGAGGACAUCUGGGCCGUUCUUUCUCAGUUCAAUUCGAGCCAUUUAGCUGCCAUGGCUCCGGAGCACGAGGAGCCACGCAUCGGCUGGUACAACCGUUUUGCCCGACAUCCUUACUAUGGCAAGACUGGCAUCAACUCAGGGGUCAUGCUCAUGAACAUGACUCGCCUCAGAGAAAAAUCUUUUAAGAACGACAUGACAACAGUUGCACUGAAGUGGGAGGAAAUUCUGAUGCCCCUUCUCCAGAAGUAUAAACUCAAUAUCACCUGGGGUGACCAGGACCUUCUUAAUAUCAUAUUUCACCAUAACCCAGAAAGCCUAUUUGUGUUCCCCUGCCAGUGGAACUACCGUCCAGACCACUGUAUCUAUGGCAGCAACUGUCAACAGGCUGAUCAAGAAGGUGUCUUCAUUCUCCAUGGUAACAGGGGGGUUUACCAUGAUGACAAGCAGCCUGCAUUUCGAGCGGUCUACGAGGCCAUCCAAAAGCUCCUCAGGCCCCCUCCCACUUUGUUCCCACUCAGUCCUUUGAGGACAGCAUCCUAAAGCCCGGAGCAGGCAAUUCUGGAGGAAACUCUCAUUUCCAUCCCACCAAGAGCUCCUCAGUCAGCCCGGCUCCCAAGUACCCAUUUGGUGAGAACAUGGAGACGUCCCUGCUUCAGCCGCUGGAAGCGUCGCUUCUGACCACAACAAAUACCUACUGUGGAAGAGCCAGUCACCUGUUUACGAAGAAGUUAAAACAGAGCAUCAU